GCCAUGGCGAGAAGUUUAAAAGGGUGUUGGGAAGCCGCAGAGGGGGAAGAAGGCGAGGAGGCGAAGAGGGUGAGAGGAGGCAACGACAAGGGAGGAAGAGAGGCUAACACACAAAACACGCUGCACAAAAACCUGGGACCAGGGAUGGCAGCAAUAGACCUGCUAUAUGAUUAUUGUUAAAUCUCAUUUGCAAAGUCACGGUUAACUUGCUAUAGUCAUGUCUCUCUCUGCAAUUCUCCCAGCUACUGAAACCACAAAAAAAAAUUGGAGGAUUCCCUUAGAACACUCCUAGGAGAGAGAGGGGAAAAGUCACCAAGUGCUAGCAGCAUGAAAGUUGAAUCGACACUAAAAUGAAUGGCGGAAAACCAAACUCAACAGAAUCAAUAACUUUCUUCAGUCAUCUGAACUCUGAUCAUCUGAAGAAGUGGGCUGUUCCCACGAAACCUCAUGAUCCCAUCUGCAUGUUUUGUUAGUCUAUAAAGUGC